GAUGAACGCUGGCGGCGUGCCUAAUACAUGCAAGUCGAGCGAACGGACGAGAAGCUUGCUUCUCUGAUGUUAGCGGCGGACGGGUGAGUAACACGUGGAUAACCUACCUAUAAGACUGGGAUAACUUCGGGAAACCGGAGCUAAUACCGGAUAAUAUUUUGAACCGCAUGGUUCAAAAGUGAAAGACGGUCUUGCUGUCACUUAUAGAUGGAUCCGCGCUGCAUUAGCUAGUUGGUAAGGUAACGGCUUACCAAGGCAACGAUGCAUAGCCGACCUGAGAGGGUGAUCGGCCACACUGGAACUGAGACACGGUCCAGACGCCUACGGGAGGCAGCAGUAGGGAAUCUUCCGCAAUGGGCGAAAGCCUGACGGAGCAACGCCGCGUGAGUGAUGAAGGUCUUCGGAGCGUAAAACUCUGUUAUUAGGGAAGAACAUAUGUGUAAGUAACUGUGCACAUCUUGACGGUACCUAAUCAGAAAGCCACGGCUAACUACGUG
rnacentral:rRNA from 1 species